AAAAUAUUAUAUCUUCAGAAAUGUAUGCUAGUUAUCACAUUGUAGGGCUGCUUGCAUUUUAAAGCAUGGAAAUCGGUAGGGAGUUAGAGAGUUCUAAUUUCCCAUCGUAUCAAAAGUCUUAUUUUAGAAACAAUGGCAGAAUCUGCUGAAUCGACUCAUUUGAAUUUCCUUUCUUUUAAUUGUUCUUACAAGUAGACAUAUUCUUAGAUAUAUUAUACAAUUACAAUUGAAAUUAAAUAAAAAAAUUAACCCAACAUUAACAAAUCUGAACACUCCUUUAUUUCUUACAAAACUUGGUAUAUAAUUCUCUUUUUUGACUUUUUGUUGUGGAAUUUUACAUUCCACAAGCGAAUCUAGGCAACAAACAAGCAAAUGGCAAAUACGAAUAAUGGUAGUUGUAAUAAUGGCUACGAGGAGAUAAAGGUAUAAGAUAUUGAAAAGAAAGUGCCCUAAUUCAGGUAGUAUUGUCAGAGCAAUUCAGGGAGGCUGACAUUUACACUGAGCCCUUAAGGAAGUGAAGCUGUUGGUCAGGUAGACUGUAGAAAUGGUGCAUUCCAGGCAAAAGGAGUAGAGGCAGGAGUAGAGGCUAGAAAAGGUUGACUUGCUUUAGGAGCUGAGAGAAAUUCAGUGAGGCAGAUAGGGCAGAGUGGGAAGGUGGGGUGGCUGAAGAGGGAGUUCACAUGGUAGUAAUAAUCAGAAAAUCCAGGGCCUUGUAGGAUGGCAAGAGGUUGUCCUUUUAUUCUUGAUGAUACAGAAAACCACUGAAAGUUUUGAAGCCCUUGAGUUGUGUAAUCUGAUUCAUGCUUUUAAAAUAUAUUAUUUGCUCUAUGUAGUGAGUGAAUUGGUUAAGGGUGGAAGCAAACUCAGUGAAAUGGUUGUGAAGAAAUGGAAAAGAAAUUAGCUUGGCUUGAAAUAAGAUCAUUGCAGCAGGCAUAGAAGGAAUAUUGAAUCAAAAGACUGAAGGGACAACUGACAGGACUUGCUGUUGGAUCUGUUAGAAGGAAUAGGAGGAUGGUGAGAAAAAGUGAGAAUCCAAAGACACCAAAGUUUCUACUUGAGAAAAUGGAAGAUGGUACCAUUUACUUAGAUGGUGAAGAUUCAGGAAGCACAAAUUUGGGGUGAGUAAAGAAUUCUCUUUUCAAUAUUUUGUGUGAGACUCCUUUGGCUGGUGGCAUCAAAUUAAGCAGUUAGAUAUGUGUCUCUUUCUACUUAAUAGGAUAAAGUCAGAAUCAGCAAAACUUACUUCAGUUCAACAAUUUCUUUUUAGAAGUUUUCAUUACACAAAGUACUCUGCAAGGCAUUUGCAUUAUGGAAGAUUAUCAUUGCCUUGGAUGAGGGAUGGACAUUAUUACUGCUAAAUAGAGGAAAACGUAUUUUGUGACUGAAUAAUUCUGAACAUGUUGGGGCAUUCACAAUAACAGAAUUCACUGAGGAAAUACAUUUGAUCUGAAUCUUGAAGGAUAGAAAUUUGUUUUGGGGCAUUGGUGGGGAGGUAUAGAUGGCAAAGAGGGAUAUGAAAAUUCCACCUUGCAGGGGCAGCAGAAGAGAUGGCACGGACGGAAUAAAUAACUUCCAAGCGCUUUUAUCAUAGCUAAAUCAGGUACCGGUUCUAUAGUUGUGAACAAAGGCAGACUCAGACCCUGUCCUUAAGGAGCUUAUAAUUUAGUGAAACAAAUUGGAAUUCACCACUUUUAAAAAGUGUUAUCACUGUUACCAACCCCCCUUCCCUCAAAUAUUCAAGGCAGUAUGCAAGUAUAAUACAGGAAAAACCAAGCCAAGUUUGUAUUUGGGCAUUACCUCUCUGAGAAAGUGAGGUUUCACAUGAAAACCAUAUACAAUGUCUAAAUUGGAUCUAGGCAAAGAAGAAAAUAAGAUUGCAAUAUCACCUUGAUUAUACUCAGGCAGAUGAAUUGGAAGAAGGGAAACUCGAUGUGGGAACGCAAGUUUGCAGGCCACAGAAGUGUUCUGAACAAAAGAUGGUGAUGUAUAAGAGUGGAGGCAGUGAUGAUUGAAGGAAGUAUCAGAAAUGAAAGGAUAUUUAGGAAUUAAAACUGAUAAGACUUAAUGAUUCACUGUGGGAAGUAAGGAAGAUGGAAAAAUAGAGGUUACUUAAGCUUCCUGACUUAAGUAACUCAGAAGAUGAUGCCAGCUAUUGAACUAUCUGGAACACUGGGGAAGAGGUAGGUUUGCAGUGGGCAUGGGAAAGAUGACUCAUGCCCUUUGGAGCAUUUUAAAUAGCAGUGCUUUGAGAGUCUUCAGGUAGACUGUGAUAAUCUGUUAAUUAGACUGGAGGCCUCAUGAAGCCGAUGACCACAUCUGUGUUGUUCAGUGCUAUAUCCCUAGUGUCUGUCACAGCACUUGCUCUCUGGUCGGCUCUCAGGAAUAUGUCUCAUUAUGAAUUAUUAAUGAAACAAAUAAAUAUGUCUCAUUAAUUCCAAAUGAGCUGCUCUAAGUUAUUUUAGGAAACAUCUGGCGUCAAAUACUUACAGUGCAAAUAAUGAUACUAGUAACUUUGCUAAUUUAAAAUAUCCUUUAUUGAGGGAAAGUUUGCAGUGUGAACAUGAAAGCUCUGAAGAACAAGGUUCCUAUUUAUUUAUUAUUAUUUUUUUUUAAUUUAUUUUUGAGAUGGAGUUUCGCUCUUGAUUCCCUGGCUGGAGUACAAUGGCGUGACCUCAGCUCAUUGCAACCUCCGCCUCCCGGGUUCAAGCGAUUCUCCUGCUUCAGCCUCCGGUGUAGCUGGGAUUACAGGCAUGCACCACCACGCCUGGCUGAUUUUGUACUUUUAGUAGAGACAGAGUUUUCCGUGUUGGUCAGGCUGGUCUCAAACUCCUGACCUUGUAAUCCCCCAACCUCAGCCUUCCAAAGUGCUGGGAUUAUAGGCGUGAGCCACUGCAUCCGGCCAAGGUUCCUUUUUAUGUGUUAGUAUUUUAUGACUUAAACUACUAAGAAGGCUGAGCCACAUUAGUGCCUAUGAUAAUUAUUCUACUGAGUGAUUCAUGGACCAUGAUUCCUGGUAGAACUAGUAGUAUCCUGAGAAAAAUAAUUUUCUGUGUUCCCUUUAUAGAGAUUUAAGGUGAACAAUAAUGUAUAAUAAGCUUCACAAAAUCCUGUAGUAUAAACUCCUCCUUAACAUUGUUUUUCUACACCAAUUUAAGCUUCAAGUUUUCUUAUCGCCUCUCCUUUUUUUCCCUCUAGAGUAUACUGCAAAGCUAUUUCUGUGAAAUACUAAUUUGUAAUUCACUAUCCUAUAGCAUUGCUGUAUGAUACUCAUCUAAAACUGCUACAUGGUGAGAAAUAUGGACUUGAAAAGUAACUUUUAUAUCUGAGAUUCAUCAAUAUCAUCAUCAAAGUCAGAUUUCCAAGUGUGAAUAUUGUGGAUGAUAAACAUCUCAGAUGAGACAAGUAACCUGCUCCAAAUCAACCUCAUGAAUGAAAAAGCUGGCUUGAGAGCCGAAACAGCUUGUGUUUGAAAGAGCACUCCAGGCAGAUUUAAGACACUUCUUUGAUUAUCCAGUUGGCUGAUGGCAAGCAACCUGUGUAUUUACCGUGAGCCCCAGUUUUCUCAUCGAUAAAGUGGGAAGAAGAAAUGAACCAGAGGAACAGCAGAAUCUUGAAGAUACUUUCCAAGAGAGAAAAUACUGAUACCUAAGAAGAACAGACAAUGACAAUCCAAUGAAACUAGAGAUUAACAGAAAAGAGAAUAAAUGAAAAAAAGUCAGGCAUAAUUGGCAAAAGAGAAAAUGGAUUAGACAGAAGGAAAAAUAAACAAACGAAAAUAUAGGAUAAAAAACAUUCUUUCAACAAUAUCGUCACCUCUAAGAAUAUUACCUUUGAAGUUCAAUAUGUGGUAGGUCAAAGAGAUUAUGUACUCUUACUUGAAAUAAGGGUAGAGGUAUCAUGUAUAGUAGUUUAAGGGUUUGACAUUGAAAUGACAUAGGUUUACUCUAAAUGCCAUUGUAAUAAUUUCUUAUUCAGGAACAGUGACCUUACCUCACUCUAACUUGCAUCUCUUUCUCCUUAGGUUUCUUUCCUUCAGCAGUUAAUGAGUAGUUUGGCAAUACAAAAAUAGACAAAGGAAACAGAAAACAGCAUUAGUCCAAGUUGACUGGAUCAUCUACUUUGCCUAUAACUGUUACCACUGAAUGAGCAGGGCCCACAGCCGCUACCAGUGCUUCCAAGAGAUUUGGAGCCUCCGUUAAUGGACUCCCAGUGCACCAGGAAUGAUUACCUUACACGCUGAUGCAGAGAGUAGCAAUUCUAGGAGCUUGAUGCUGGAAGGGACCCACAGAAGUCAUCACCCUGCCUUAAGGCAGAGUGUACCUAAACCCUCCUAGAGGACGAAGAUGAAUUUAAGAACUCUCUCUACUCCACUGCAGGACCUCCUCGCCCUACCCACCAAGCUCUGCGAGCUUAAGAUACAAAGAUAAAUUUAAAUGCGGAAAACAGUCCUCCCUAGAAAAGCUUGGUUUCAAUAUUUCACUGCCUGCUUUUAAUCAUCAUCAGUAGAUUCAGAGAUUCGGUUCUUAUUCUCCUUUUUAUUCAUAGUUAUCCAAAUUAAGUUUAAAUACUUGUACAUUUUGUAUUUUUUGGUAUCUGAGCAGUGUUGUCCUCAAAUUUUAUCCCUUUGAAAAAAAGGAAAUUGUUGCUUAGCAAUAAGGAAAGACAAAGGCUUACAAAUGCAAAGCAUAUUAUAGUCAAGCAUAAGAAGUCAUACUAAAUGAUGAUAUCUAAAGGAAUGCUUGAUUGUGGCAACUCAAUGAGAAAAGAACUGUCUCCUAUUAGCUUUAACAGCAGGGUUUGUUAUCAUUUAAGUACACGCUCUAAUACAUUUAGUGUUUUGUGCUACAUUUAACAAGAUUAAGUGAACACACACAGUUUCAACUCAAAUCUUUAUUGGAAAUCAGAGGCAAGCCUCAUUUCUUGCCAAAACAUUCUCUUGUGGCUCAUUCUUGGAGCAAAUUCCAUAGAAGUAAAUCUGUUUACCCAGGUGUACCAUUGAUCAGUUAAAGGAUUUUCCCUUCAGGUAACUCUUUACUGAACUUUGAAAACAUUACCUAAAAAUUCUAAAAAAUUGAAAUGUCUGAAAG